CAGUUCGGAUCGCAGUCUGCAACUCGACUGCGUGAAGCUGGAAUCGCUAGUAAUCGCGCAUCAGCCAUGGCGCGGUGAAUACGUUCCCGGGCCUUGUACACACCGCCCGUCAAGCCAUGGAAGUCUGGGGACCUGAAGACGGUAACCGCAAGGAGCCGUUAAGGGUAAAACAGGUAACUAGGGCUAAGUCGUAACAAGGUAUC
rnacentral:rRNA from 1 species